rnacentral:rRNA from 1 species
UACAGAGGUCUCAAGCGUUGUUCGGAUUCCUUGGGCGUAAAGGGUGCGUAGGCGGCGCGGUAAGUCGGGUGUGAAAUCUCGGAGCUUAACUCCGAAACUGCAUUCGAUACUGCCGUGCUUGAGGACUGGAGAGGAGAUUGGAAUUUACGGUGUAGCGGUGAAAUGCGUAGAUAUCGUAAGGAAGACCAGUGGCGAAGGCGGGUCUCUGGACAGUUCCUGACGCUGAGGCACGAAGGUCAGGGGAGCAAACGGG